rnacentral:lncRNA from 1 species
CUUCCCUCCACACUGCCUCGCCAACCAACCACCGCUACACACGAGGCGGCGCGUGGCCGGAGAGCGAGAAAAGGCGACGUACCCAUCGAUAGCGAGAAAUUAAGUUGCCGGAGAGGAGGAGGAUGACGAUGAGGUUGGCGGCGGCGGUGGUGGUGAUGGUGGUGGUGGCGGCGGCGGCGAUGUCGGUGGAGGCGGAGCUGAGCGUGGAUUACUACAAGAAGAGUUGUCCCGGAGUGGAGAACGUGGUGAGGUACCAUGUCGCCAAGGCGCU